rnacentral:rRNA from 1 species
UACGAGUGCCCCGAGCGUUAUCCGGAAUUAUUGGGCGUAAAGAGCUCGUAGGCGGUCUGUUGCGUCGGCUGUGAAAACCCGGGGCUCAACCCCGGGCCUGCAGCCGAUACGGGCAGACUAGAGUUCGGCAGGGGAGACUGGAAUUCCUGGUGUAGCGGUGAAAUGCGCAGAUAUCAGGAGGAACACCGGUGGCGAAGGCGGGUCUCUGGGCCGAUACUGACGCUGAGGAGCGAAAGCGUGGGGAGCGAACAGG